CCCAUAAUUGCAAGUUUCUUUUGCGCCAUAAACUCCAAGAUGUCAUAGCAAAAGAAACCAAUUGUUGAGUGGUGAAAUUGUGCCAAAUACGUUUGAAAACAUCAUUAAAACCUUCAGCAUUUUCCACUAAAUUUUGCAACGCAUUCCACAAAUUAACUUGUCGCCAACAAGUUAUACUAUCAGCACAAUCAAGAAAUAAAUGCCAAUUAUAUUCUGUGUAUCUAUGACACACAACACAAUUAGAAUCACCAUGAAUUCCUUUGCUCAUUAAUCUUUGCCU
rnacentral:lncRNA from 1 species